GGUUUGAGUAAAAAGAGUGACGAAUGGAGAACUAGGGUGCACUAAAGAGGACGGAGCCCCGAAAUGGCGGAGGAGAGACUUUGAAGCCCUAAUGUCCUGCGCGGCAACGCAGCGGGGGGGCCAGGGGAGCGAAACAUCCCAGUACCGGGCCCCCCACCCCUCCCCACCCCAUAGCGGGGUGUUUAGGGCGGGGCACAGUAAAAAUCAAACGAGAUUCCGCAAGUGGCGGCGAGCGAAAGCGGACGGGCCCUUUCCCGUAGGCGAGUAGUGAUGGGAAGAUGGGUGGCCACACAUCCAAGGCUUAAUAAUUAGUGUCACACCGAAAGAGGGGAGUACUGUGAAGGAAAGUUGAAAGAGACUUGCGGCCGUGGGUUACGCCAGUGACCUACGGCCACUUGAAAAGACCUUGAAAUGAGUCACUUAAAGCAGUUGUAACACAACGUACCUUUUGUAUAAUGGGUCCACGAGAUAAAAUUUGGCAAACUUAAAGUGCAAUCUUUGAUUAAGAUUCCUGGCAAUCUUCCUUGGAAGACUGCUAGGGAUCUCGCAGCCACCCCGCAGGGGAUGGCUGGGGGGAUUGUUCUUGGCCCCCUAAGGUGUAGUGAAAGCAAGGGGGGGGACACCCCCACCCCUCAGUCAAAUUUCCCGAAACCAAGUGAUCUAGCCAUGGGCAGUUUUUAGGAACGAACCGGUGGUUGUUGCAAAAACCUCGGACGACCUGUGGUUAGGGGCGAAACGCCAAUCGAACUUGGAGAUAGCUGGUUUUCUGCGAAAACUAUUGAAGUAGUGCGUCCACAAUUCAAGGAAUCAAGAUUUGCAUUAUCCGAUGAGAAUGGCUUGGAAUGCGGUAAAGCCCGACCCCCGAAGCCGGGGGAUUAACUAUGAAGAAAAAAAGCCAGAGUGGGACAGACAGACUGUGGGCGAUAAAGGUCGACGGUCUAAAGGGGAGAAGCCCUAACCCAGAAGUUAAAGUCAUUAAUAAAAGGGCGGGGGGGGCCUUUGGCCCCCACCCCCCGAUUUAGUGUAAAAGAGAUAUUGGGUUGAGACAAUGGAGAAGUAGGCUUGGAGCCAGCCACCUUUGAGAGAUGACGUAGCAGUUCACUCAAGAAAUUCUUUUAUCUCUAAAAUUAUGGUGGCUAAAGUUGAACUGAAACUCUGGGGGCGAAAUAACAAGGUGGGGUCCGUUCCCUCCUUCAGAGAAGGUGGGAGCCGCCGCCCUUCGUUAUGCUUGUCCGGUAGCAGAACGUACUGUUAAUUGUUCAGUGAGAGCCCCACACGGCAUCAGAAGUGAUAAUGUGGACAUGAGUAAAAAAUCAUAGGAUCACUCCCCCCCUGGUUUCCCAUAUUAGGUAUGGGGUUAAACAGCCCCUAAAAUUGCAGCCCCAAAGGUUGCGUUAAUGGGGGGCCAUGAGUAAUAGACGCACAAAGUGCCAGGAAAGAAUUAUUCGGCGCCGCACUGUACUAAACUAACUAAAGUGGGGGAUAGUGAGGGGAUAAAUUUCUUUAAGGAACUCGGCAAAAUCCCAAUGGCCCACCAGGGCAUAUAUUGGAACACGGGCCUCGACUGUUUACCAAAAACAUAGCCCUCGGCCAAUAUGAAAAUAGAAGUAUGGAGGGUGAGGCCUGCCCAAUGGUUGUAUCUAAAAGCGGUGGAUAAAAGUCGACCGCGUAAGGACAAUUGAAUGGCCGCGGUACUACUGACCGUGAUAAUGUAGCGUAAUCAAUAGCCAAUUAAUUGUUGGCCAGUAUGAAUGGCGCCACGAAGGCCCCACUGUCUUAAGGAAAUUCCCAGUGAAAUUGAAUUCGUAGUGAAGAUGCUACGUCCAAUUUGUUAGACGAAAAGACCCCGUUGAGCUUUACUGGGGCACUUACACGGCCGAAUUGAAAUGGGCGGCUUAGACUAUGUGGCAGCCCCCCGUCGGGGCAGAUGAAACCCCACUCCCCCAUGUCAAAGGGGCUAACCCCCCCUCGGGGGGGGACAGUGUAAGUAGGACAGUUUGGUUGGGGCGACCGCCUUUUAGAGAGUAACGAAGGUGCGCUUAAGGUGCGCAAUUAAUGACUGAAGCCUGACUGCGAGGGGGACACCCCGAGCAGACACCCCCCAGCCCGCGAGGGCGGGGGUGGGCCAUAGUGACCCGUUAAUUUAGAGUGGAAUAGUUAACGAUCAACGAAUAAAAGUUACCACGGGGAUAACAGCGUAAUAUCGUUAGAGAGUUCACAUCGACGACGAUGUUUGCGACCUCGAUGUUGAAUUGCGGCAUCCUGGGGUGCAGCCGCUCCCAAGGGUUGGUCUGUUCGUCCAUUAAAGCCGUACAUGGAUUUGAGUUAAAAGCGUGGUAACACAGCUUGGUUUCUAUCUACAAAUUGAAGAAACAUCGAUAUAACUAUCUUCUAGUACGAAAGGACCGAAGGAUUAGUGAUCCUCUUAUUUGUUAUAAGUUACGAUCAACCCAUUGACCUCAACCCCCCCCCAGGGGUCUCUCAGCUAAUCACUGACCGCUUCUAAAGUGGGAAGGUCAUAUCGAAAUGUUUGGGCCCAUUAUAGGGGGGCUAAAACUAUAAAUCCAGUCUAAGACUGUCCCUUAUAGGGGCGCAGCCUCAAGGCCCUGCAACCUUCGUUGAAGGUUCCAGUCUACGAAGUAGA
rnacentral:rRNA from 1 species